GUGCUUGGGCGAGAGUAGUACUAGGAUGGGUGACCUUUCGGGAAGUCCUGGUGUUGCACCCCC
rnacentral:rRNA from 1 species